rnacentral:rRNA from 1 species
AGAGUUUGAUCAUGGCUCAGGAUGAACGCUAGCGGCAGGCCUAAUACAUGCAAGACGAGCGGUAAUUUUAGUAGCAAUACUGAGACUAGAGCGUCGUAAGGGUGCGUAACACGUAUGCAAUCUGCCCGGAACUGGGGUAUAGCUCGGGGAAACCCGGAUUAACCCCCCAUAAUAUCGAGAUGUGGCAUCAUGUUUCGAUUAAAUCUGAGGAGGUUCUGGAUGAGCAUGCGGAUGAUUAGCUAGUUGGCGGUGUAACGGACCACCAAGGCGAUGAUCAAUAGGGGAACUGAGAGGUUGAUCCCCCACACUGGCACUGAGAUACGGGCCAGACUCCUACGGGAGGCAGCAGUAGGGAAUAUUGGACAAUGGGUGCAAGCCUGAUCCAGCCAUGCCGCGUGCAGGAAGAAGGCUUUCUGAGUUGUAAACUGCUUUUGCCAGGGGAUAAAAUACGGAUGCGUCCGGAAUUGAAGGUACCUGGUGAAUAAGCCACGGCUAACUACGUGCCAGCAGCCGCGGUAAUACGUAGGUGGCAAGCGUUGUCCGGAUUUAUUGGGUUUAAAGGGUGCGUAGGCGGUCAAUUAAGUCAGUGGUGAAAUACUUCAGCUCAACUGGAGAGGUGCCAUUGAUACUGGUUGACUUGAGUACUGAUGAGGUAGGCGGAAUGGACGGUGUAGCGGUGAAAUGCUUAGAUAUCGUCCAGAACACCGAUAGCGAAGGCAGCUUACUAAGGAGUAACUGACGCUGAGGCACGAAAGUGUGGGGAUCAAACAGGAUUAGAUACCCUAGUAGUCC